rnacentral:lncRNA from 1 species
CUGAAACUUGCAGUCUUGUGUUGGCACCGCGGGGCGUUGGGCAGUACAGUAGAGACGCCUGCAUUUCAACUCUGAUGCUUUUGAGGCCUCAAGAAGACUUGAGGAAAAUCUCCCGUGAUGUGUUUGAUAUUCUGCUCUGACACAAAAGGAGUCAAGGCAGACAGGAGCCAAAAGUUUGCACAUCAAACAAACCCAAGGAGACAACAGAGAGCCUGCUGCUGGUUCUUUCAUACCUGCUUUCUUUGAGAAUGACAGAUCACUUAUUUCCUCAAACAAAAUACCACCAAACCAAAGAGGUUGUCAGAAAAGAGAGUAAGCAUAACUAAAUAAAAAUAAAUGGCCACAACAACUGGCACUAUUAACAGGUGGAUCUUCUCAUAUUUUUUUUUUGUCACAGAUUCUUCAAGUUCUUCCUGUUUGGGAUGGUUCUCCUGGCUCAGUGGUUAAUUGUUCCACCAGAGGAGCUGAAUCUCAUGAAAACCCACCUCCACCUGGAGCGAGGGCCGACCGGUGCCGCCUGGAAGCUGAUGCAAGCAGCUGCCUGCAUUCUAAAGCUAGAAACCACUAUUAAAUAUAGAAAUACACAUUCUAGAAGCAGUUGUCUGGGCUUCCUGCAUCCUCAGCACUUCCACAGAUGUACUAUGUAAAUGAACGCAACGCACGUCUGCAUUAACGUGCAAGAUGUAGUGUAUUAAAAAUGAUUCUAGGCUGGACC